rnacentral:lncRNA from 1 species
CUUCCUUCCUGCAGGGAUUGCUUUCUGGCCCACAACAUGCUGGUAUUAAGUACUAGCUUUUCCUUCGAGAGCCACUUUUUACCCACAUUUUCCUCGCAGCCUCUUUACAUGUUGUUUCUUAUCUACACGCAACAGGACUUUCAGCCGCUCAGUUCAGGGCUUGGAAGAUAAAAGCCCCGGGAGGGUGCAGCUAUUUCCCCCCCAGGCCAGCAGCUCCUGCAAUAAACAGGGUAUGAAAUAAGGAGGGUCUGAAUUCCAUCCACGCUGAUGUUGGGCAUUUUCCCGUCAAUAAAACUGUGUCACAUUGGGACUACAGGUACAAAGAACCAAAUUCUGUACUCAUUCCCCUCAGACGUAAAGUAGAAAUAACUCUGGACAAAUCACUAACUUUUUUUUUUUGUGCUCUAGUGUGUCCUGUUCAACCUGUUACUGGCAAAUCUUGGGGCGUGCUGUGUCUAAGUAGUAAUACCUUCCUAUAAAACUUCCUCCUAUAAAACUUUAAAAUACAAACCAGCUCUAGAUUCCUUAAAUUCUUUUUUCUGAAAUUCUGCAGGUUGGGAAUCUAAGAGGGAUACAUCCUUCUUUCCAUCUUUUCCCAUUCAUUUCUUCUGACCAGUUCCUCACCAGCAAGAUUCGCUUGGAACUCACUUGGAACUCCUCCCAGCUACAUCUGCUUUUCCAGAGUCACAUUUUCUGGGCCAGCUGUGGGGUUUUAAAUUCGUGCAUAACUUCCCUGAUCUAACAUAACUUCCAUCUGAAGACGGGUUUAUGCUGACUCUACUAUGCUGGAUGUUUCAAAUAUGUGACAGGGUGUUUCAAAAUUCUUUCCUUCCCCUCGCAAACACCCUGUAGUACCACAGGCUAAAGCACAGCUCGACGUAUCAGCAGUUCUAAUUACAGUCGUGACACAACUGCAAUAAGCAGGAGCUCCAGAGAGUAGCUGAAGAAUUACACGGAAGACUAAUGAGCAGGAAGUUUGAAGCCCGUCAAAGCAUGAAUGAAGGAACAACUAUGCAAAAUAAUGUCAUCAUCACAACGACAGGAACUGAUUGGCAACCACUGAAGCCCUCCACAGAAAGAGCGAGCUUUAUUUGGGAGAAUUCAAUAGCAGAUAAUAUGCCACUAAAUCACAAUGGUAAGCCAAAAAGUGUAAAUAAGAAGCUGGAAACGACUUGGAUAAGAGAACAAACUGGCUUGGCAACAGCUCUCAGAAGAAGGCCUGAUUCAACUCCUCAGCCAGGAAGCACACACAAUAAAUAUCAAAGCAGGUAGGAUGCAGCAAAAAGCAGCGGCACAGCACACUCUGAAAUUAUUGGUCCAGUCAUCGCCUAAUUUCAGAUGAUUCAAAACCGUGAGCCAAGGCUCAGGAUCCUGGACUCUAGCAGUGUCCAUGCACGCUUUACGAAUGCUACAAGCCUGAGUGCUGAGCUCAGUGACAGCCCUGAGCAGCCCGCUUAAAUAAACUCUGACAGGGACAACA